rnacentral:snoRNA from 1 species
UUCACUGAUGAUAACGGUCUAUACUUCUUUCCCAGUCCGAAUCGACCAUGACGAUAUGGGAUGUUGCCUUGCCUCAUUCGAAUCUUCGGAUUUGAUAAUCGGGGCUUCUUGCCAGUACAUUUUAAUGUACCUUUAGAUCAUCUGAGAU